CGCGAUCUUAACAAUUUCACGACCUAACCGCUUGGACUAAAUACCGUGCAAUCUGUUUGAACAUACAGGGAUAAGUGAGGUAUGGAUUGGGAGGUUGGGGUAUUGGCUAGUGCAUUUAUUAGCUAACCUUCCUGCAUGUGGCAAAUGUUAAUAAGUAGCUAGCUAAAAAUCGCUGAAACAUAUUGCACAUAAAUAUGCGAAUACAGCAAUAUAACAAAACUUAAAAAACAAUUUAAAGGUUGUCUUUGUUCUCUUAAAAUUCUCAUUUUAAAAUGGAUUGUUCUAAAACUGUGGUACCCAUGGCUGUUCCAAAAUCCAUAGUGGCAUUGGACUUUCAAUUGUUCAUUUUUCACGUUGUAUGAAAGUUUGAAUGGCUUUUCUUGAGAUACAAUGGCUUUAGCUACCCCCAAGUGGGCAAAGGUUUUCCUUAAAUCCUUGUGGAUACCAGCAGCUUGUUUAAAUAUAUACAUAACCUUCCUCAUGUCGGUAAAUUCAACGACGUGUUCCACUGUUGUUUGAGUUGUUUUGGUUGCAAAGCAAGUAUUUGCUGUGC